CAGUCGCCACGGUAAUACGUAGGUGGCAAGCGUUGUCCGGAAUUAUUGGGCGUAAAGGGCUCGCAGGCGGUUUCUUAAGUCUGAUGUGAAAGCCCCCGGCUCAACCGGGGAGGGUCAUUGGAAACUGGGAAACUUGAGUGCAGAAGAGGAGAGUGGAAUUCCAUGUGUAGCGGUGAAAUGCGUAGAGAUGUGGAGGAACACCAGUGGCGAAGGCGACUCUCUGGUCUGUAACUGACGCUGAAGAGCGAAAGCAUGGGGAGCGAACAGGAUUAGAUACCCCCGUAGUCCCUGUCUCUUAUAC
rnacentral:rRNA from 1 species